GAUCCAGUAAACAACGGCGGUGCUAUAAAUAAAGGAUACUUCAUGUAUUAUAUGCAGAUUGCAAAAGCGCCUGUAGAUGGUCUUCGCAAUUACGUGGAUGUACUAGAGGAAGAGUUGAAAACGGUCAAAGAAAAUUUACAUAAACUGAUAGAGGAUGCAGCAGGUGGUAAACCAGUUACAUAAAGCGUCACGCAAAAACUUCCCCCGUAGACUUUUCAAACUACGAAACGCAGACCGAAAAAUCUACAAACCGAUGCCGGGAAGGAAUUCUAUAACAAAUCAUUCGCCAAAUUGAUGAUGUAAGAACGCAUUAAUCACUAUUCCACGUACAGUACGAAAAAGGCUGCACUGGCCGAGAGGGUUAUAAGAAGUAUAAAAAAACCCUUGUACCGGCAGUUUAGUUUACGUGGAAAAUAUGUAUGGAUAGAUGCAAUCGAAUCGAUCACGAGCGAGUACAAUAAUCGUAAACAUCGAACAACGGGGAUGAAACCGAUCGAAGUGAAGGCCGAUACAAAGCCGGACGCCUACAACCACAUCAAGCUCUUCAACAAUAAGAAAUGCCGUUUUAAUGUCGGCGAUUGUUGUAACCUUAUGUAGGUAAAUAUGUAAUCACAUUUAGCGUCAGCCUAGACACAGCCACAUAAUUCAGCUGAAGGUCAACAGGGACAAGCGGAGGAAGGCGAAGGUGGCUAGUAGUACUACGCUCGAGUGUGGAUAAGGAGUUCUAAAAUUUUGUUGCAUUAUUCAUGAAUUUAAUAAAGAUGUUCUUUGAUUAAUCGGAUUAAUCCAGUAAUCACAACAAAAUUGGCGACGAGGAACGAGGAUGAGCACGAUGCAGCCACGCAAUGAGUAAGCACGUUUCCACAUAUCACAAGUUCAAGAUCCAUCCAAUGAAACUAUUUUACCUGAUUGCUAUUGCUCAUCGAAUAUAAAUAAUCAGCAUGACGGAAUUAACCCAAUUUAUCGCUACUUUGCAACAACUACUGGAAAAAGUUAGUAACCCGACCCCGCACCCAGAGACGCCACGUCAGGAAGAUAAAGAGGAUGCUUCAAAGAUACACUUCGACAACUUCAACGGAAAAAUAGAGUCAUUUACGACGUAUAUUCAACGACUCGAAAACUUGUUUGACCUCCAUCGAAUUCAAGCCACUCCUGACGGAAACGCACUGCGAGCCAAGGUACUUCUAAACUGCAUUGGCACCCAAUAUUAUCAACUUCUCUGUUCACUAUGUUCACCAGAUUUGCCUACUUCAAAAACGUAUACCGAAAUUGUAGAUGUUUUAACGAAACAUCUAUGUCCAAGGCAAAACAUAGACGUAGCUCAAUUCAAUUUUAUGAAGAGAUCUCAAACAGCAAGCGAAACCAUUAGUGAGUAUCUAGCUUCCUUAAAGCAAUUAAGUAUACCUUGUCAAUUCAAUUGUAUACAUGAUAGUUGUAAACGAUCAGUUUCGGCACUUUUCCUACGACCAGUAUUCAUAUGUGGCCUUCGAGAUUCAAAUAUUCGCGAGAGGUUAUUAAUCGAACAAAAACAGUCAUUUGACGAGCUAGUUGAACUUGCGAUCACCCUCGAAGCAUCAAAGAGGAAUAACGAGAAUCUUGCGGCAAGCUGUUCAUCAACCUUACCAACGGGAGUUAUUCAAUCAGCUGUGCAAGUUAAUGAAGUGAAAUCUCACAAGAAAAUUCAUCGAAACCGCAGCCGUAACAGGAAUAGCGAUCAUGUUCGAAAUUCCUCAAACUCUCAAAGUCGCUGUAAUUCACAGACACGUAAUAAAUUCAGUUAUCUAGGAAUAGGUCACUUAUGUUUACGCUGUGCACUGGCAAAUCACUCAUCACGUGAAUGUAGAAUCUCGCAAGAUAAACUGCAUUGCAAUUCGUGCAAUAAAUCCGGGCAUGUUGCUAAAGUCUGCAUAUCUACGUUAUUCAAAAAUCGGAAGAAUCGCAAUGCUUCGGUACAAUACCUCGAUGACCCAAUGCCUUCAAGCAGCUCAAGUUCAAAUUAUGUGCUACAAGUUGUCACCAUUCCAAAUAUUUUGAACACCUCAGUUAACUACACUGACAGAAAGUUUCAAAUUGCUGUGCAAUUAGAAAAUAAGGAAUCCAACUUCGAAAUUGAUUCUGGCAGUCCUGUAACGUUUAUGUCGAAGAGCAAUUAUGAUAAAUUAAAGCUAAGUGCGGUUAUUCAAAGUGCGGACAUUCAAUUUCGUUCGUUUACACUACAGCCAUUCACUCCAUACGGAAAAGCGGAGAUAAGUGUUCAAUAUCGUGAUAUAGGUGCAACACUACCACUUUAUAUCAUUAAUCGAAAUGUAACGUCGAUUUUAGGAAGAGAUUGGAUGAAAACUCUAGGGUUAUCAAUAACUCAUACAAAUCCCAGUGAUCGUACACCACAGGAGCCCUACGCAGUUCAACAAGUGCAGUCUCCCAAUUCAAAUUGUGCGGAAGAAAUAUUUUCUACGUUUGCAGAUCUGUUUAAACCAGAAAUAGGAUGCAUUCCCGGGAUAAAGUGUUCGUUACGAAUUCGCGAAAAUACGAAGCCCAUGUUUUUAAAAAACCGUACAGUGCCAUAUGCGUUACUCGAUAAAGUAAAUAAAGAGCUUGAUAAAUUGGAAUCACAACAAAUAAUUACCAAGACUACACACAGCGAAUGGGGAUCACCUUUAGUAAUCGUACCGAAAUCAAAUAAUGAAGUACGGCUCUGCGUAGAUUUUAAAGCUACAGUCAAUCCAAAUUUACACGAGGCAAGAUACCCCAUCCCAUUAAUCGAAGAUAUUUUCAACAGAUUACGAGGUGGAGUAUAUUAUUGCACCUUAGAUGUACAUAAAGCAUAUUACCACAUCAAAAUGGACGAAGAAAGCUCAAAAAUUCAAGCUAUUUCUACGCACCGCGGAGUCUAUCUCAUGAAUCGAUUGGCUUUUGGAAUUAAAGUCGCACCCAACGAAUUUCAACGUAUCAUGGAUGAAACAUUCUCACACAUUCCAGGCACCGCCGUGUAUUUUGAUGACAUUAUUAUCACAGGUAGUACAAUUGAGGAAUGUCGACAGCGGUUAAUCACCUGCUUACAUAAAUUACGCUCGAUGAAUUUGCAUUUAAAUCGCGACAAGUGCAAGUUGUUUCAAACGGAAGUGACAUAUUUAGGGCACACAAUCGGGAAAUUUGGUAUUAAGAAAACGAAGGAUAAAGUUCAAGCCAUUGUAGAUGCGCCACGCCCGAUCAACUCCGAACAGGUACAUUCCUUUAUUGGUCUUACGAUGUAUUACGCCAAAUUUCUACCUGAUAUCUCGACAAGUACAGCGCCAUUACGUGAACUGUUGAAAAAGAACGUUAAAUUUGUGUGGACAAAUAAAUGUGAAAAGGCUUUCAACGACAUAAAAACGUUAAUAUCGAGUGAUCGAGUUUUAGUGCCCUACGACCCGUCGUUGCCACUUGUGUUAACGCGAGUCCGGUCGGUAUUUCGGGUGUUUUAUCUCAUGUGAUAAACAAUGAAGAGCAUCCGAUUGCUUUUAUUUCUCGUGCGUUAACACAAAGUGAACGAAAUUAUUCCCAGCUUGACCGUGAAGCUACCGCAAUAUUUUGGUCUGUUAAACGACUUUAUAAUUACUUGUAUGGUCGCAAGUUUACCCUUAUUACAGACAAUAGACCACUAUUCCAUAUUCUGUCGCCUUCUAAGCAGAUACCAGCCAUGUCCGCAACACGAUUAAUUCGGUACGCAUCUUUCCUGAGUGCAUUCGAUUUCGACAUAAGUCAUCGCCCAGCAAGUAUGCAUGCAAAUGUCGACUAUUUUUCUCGUGCAACUAAAUCCGGAAGCUUACUAGUUAACGAUGAAGACGAACAUUCGCAAUAUUAUUCAAACAUUGUACAAUUUUUAGAUUCCGAACUAAUCACGGCUUCAACAGUAGCGAAAGAGACCGCCCAAGAUGAAGAGUUAUCUGCGUUACUACACUCGAUAUCAACGUCUCUCGAAUACGCUCCGGAAUACUCGACACAUAAAGGAGUAGUAUUACGAGGGAAUCGAGUCGUAAUACCUACGAGCUUACGCCCUCAAAUUUUACAACAACUGCAUUCCGUGCAUAGCGGGAUCACGAAAAUGAAAAUGAUCGCCCGUAACUACGUCUAUUGGCAUGGAAUAGAUCGUGACAUUGAAAAUAUCGCCAAAUCCUGCGCCGUCUGUGCAAAAAUGCAAUCAGAUCCGGUGAAGGUUCCAAUCCAUUCGUGGGAAAAGCCUGACGCUCCAUGGCAACGCCUUCACAUAGAUUAUGCGGGACCCAAGGAUGGUAAAUUUUAUUUUGUAAUCAUCGAUAGCCACUCAAAUUGGCCAGAAGUAUUUGCAUCGAAUAGUGCUCCUAAUACAGAAUUGACAAUCGAAUAUCUACGAGAAGUGUUUUCGCGGUUUGGCAUACCCAGGAUUAUUGUUUCAGAUAACGCCACUAUUUUCACUAGCGAUCGCUUCACAUCUUUCUGCUCGAAUAAUGGAAUCAAACAGUGUUUUUCAGCUCCAGGCCAUCCGGCAACGAACGGCACUGCUGAACGAGCAGUACGGACACUGAAGCAAAGGUUAGCUGCAUUGGCCGAUUCACCGAUUCCGCAUCACAUUAAGCUACACGAAAUUUUAUUUACGUGGAGGAGCACACAGCAAUUCAGGAUCGACACCAGCGGAACUCAUGUUAGGACGACCUAUGCGCACCAAAUUUGACAUUCUACGCCCGGCUCAAGAGAAGACACCAUCUGGGAAUUUACUGCCAGUAACACGAAAAUUAAAGGUGGGAGAAAGGCAGUAUAUGGUAGCCGACAUUAUUUAAUACACCUUGACAAUGGUCAUGUGUUAAAACGUCACAUUAACCAACUUCGAUCGACACAAGUGGAAAAGCCAGAACCGCCAAUGCCAACGCCCAAUCGCAGAAAAGUAUCGUUCGCACCCAACUUGCCCAUCGUACACAUUUAUAACGGGAACCAAAGUGAUCCAUCAAAUAACUUAGUGCCUACACAGCAGGAACGAGAAGUUGGGGAACAACCCGAAGCAGCUACACAGCCCGAACCAGCUGCACAGCCCGAGCCGCAGCUAAUACUCCGACGAUCAAACAGAAUCCGAAACCAACCAGUGUGGAUCCAGGAGUAUGUCACCAAAUAAGACAUUUAUUUAAUUAUUUGUUUUGCUUUUUGUAAUUCUUAAUUCAAAUUGUUUCGACUUCUGCCACUCUAUUUAAAGGUGGGAGAAUUGUUGUAACCUUAUGUAGGUAAAUAUGUAAUCACAUUUAGCGUCAGCCUAGACACAGCCACAUAAUUCAGCUGAAGGUCAACAGGGACAAGCGGAGGAAGGCGAAGGUGGCUAGUAGUACUACGCUCGAGUGUGGAUAAGGAGUUCUAAAAUUUUGUUGCAUUAUUCAUGAAUUUAAUAAAGAUGUUCUUUGAUUAAUCGGAUUAAUCCAG